rnacentral:rRNA from 1 species
AAGGCUGAGCUGUGAUGGGGAAGCUCCUUAUGGAGCGAAGUCUUCGAUUCCCCGCUGCCAAGAAAAGCUUCUAGCGAGAUAAAAGGUGCCUGUACCGCAAACCGACACAGGUAGGCGAGGAGAGAAUCCUAAGGUGAGCGAGAGAACUCUGGUUAAGGAACUCGGCAAAAUGACCCCGUAACUUCGGGAGAAGGGGUGCUUUCUUAACGGAAAGCCGCAGUGAAUAGGCCCAAGCGACUGUUUAGCAAAAACACAGGUCUCUGCGAAGCCGUAAGGCGAAGUAUAGGGGCUGACACCUGCCCGGUGCUGGAAGGUUAAGGAGAGGGGUUAGCGUAAGCGAAGCUCUGAACUGAAGCCCCAGUAAACGGCGGCCGUAACUAUAACGGUCCUAAGGUAGCGAAAUUCCUUGUCGGGUAAGUUCCGACCCGCACGAAAGGUGUAACGAUUUGGGCACUGUCUCAACCAGAGACUCGGUGAAAUUAUAGUACCUGUGAAGAUGCAGGUUACCCGCGACAGGACGGAAAGACCCCGUGGAGCUUUACUGUAGCCUGAUAUUGAAUUUUGGUACAGCUUGUACAGGAUAGGCGGGAGCCUUUGAAGCCGGAGCGCUAGCUUCGGUGGAGGCGCUGGUGGGAUACCGCCCUGGCUGUAUUGAAAUUCUAACCUACGGGUCUUAUCGACCCGGGAGACAGUGUCAGGUGGGCAGUUUGACUGGGGCGGUCGCCUCCUAAAGUGUAACGGAGGCGCCCAAAGGUUCCCUCAGAAUGGUUGGAAAUCAUUCGUAGAGUGCAAAGGCAUAAGGGAGCUUGACUGCGAGACCUACAAGUCGAGCAGGGACGAAAGUCGGGCUUAGUGAUCCGGUGGUUCCGCAUGGAAGGGCCAUCGCUCAACGGAUAAAAGCUACCCCGGGGAUAACAGGCUUAUCUCCCCCAAGAGUCCACAUCGACGGGGAGGUUUGGCACCUCGAUGUCGGCUCAUCGCAUCCUGGGGCUGUAGUCGGUCCCAAGGGUUGGGCUGUUCGCCCAUUAAAGCGGUACGCGAGCUGGGUUCAGAACGUCGUGAGACAGUUCGGUCCCUAUCCGUCGUGGGCGUAGGAAAUUUGAGAGGAGCUGUCCUUAGUACGAGAGGACCGGGAUGGACGCACCGCUGGUGUACCAGUUGUUCUGCCAAGGGCAUCGCUGGGUAGCUAUGUGCGGAAGGGAUAAGUGCUGAAAGCAUCUAAGCAUGAAGCCCCCCUCAAGAUGAGAUUUCCCAUAGCGUAAGCUAGUAAGAUCCCUGAAAGAUGAUCAGGUUGAUAGGUUCGAGGUGGAAGCGUGGUGACACGUGGAGCUGACGAAUACUAAUAGAUCGAGGACUUAACCA